rnacentral:rRNA from 1 species
AGUGAACGCUGGCGGUAGGCCUAACACAUGCAAGUCGAACGGCAGCACAGUAAGAGCUUGCUCUUACGGGUGGCGAGUGGCGGACGGGUGAGGAAUACAUCGGAAUCUACUUUUUCGUGGGGGAUAACGUAGGGAAACUUACGCUAAUACCGCAUACGAUCUACGGGUGAAAGCAGGGGAUCUUCGGACUUUGCGCGAUUGAAUGAGCCGAUGUCGGAUUAGCUAGUUGGCGGGGUAAAGGCCCACCAAGGCGACGAUCCGUAGCCGGUCUGAGAGGAUGAUCGGCCACACUGGAACUGAGACACGGUCCAGACUCCUACGGGAGGCAGCAGUGGGGAAUAUUGGGCAAUGGGCGAAAGCCUGAUCCAGCCAUACCGCGUGAGUGAAGAAGGCCUUCGGGUUGUAAAGCCCUUUUGUUGGGAAAGAAAAGCAGCAGGUUAAUACCCCGCUGUUCUGACGGUACCCAAAGAAUAAGCACCGGCUAACUUCGUG